CUUCGGGGUUCCUGGGUGUCACCCAGAUCUCGCUGGGGCCUCCAAAUGAAAGAACUCAGUGGGGAAACCCCCACUCAGCUCCCGAUUUGGCGUGCACCCAAGAAUCACGAAUAGAACA
rnacentral:pre_miRNA from 7 species